UUCAGAGUCACUCAGAUCUUCCUGCUCCAGGUGUACGGCCAGGUAAAAGCCUUGUGGCUAGGAAUUACUAUCACCCAAAUACAUGAGACAAAAUACAGAGUGGCCAGGAUGCUGUUUUGGGCCUUAUGACUGCUCCCUCGUUACUGUAUGCUGUACACAGUAUCCUGUCUUGGAUGAAGUUACAAUCUGAAGGCAACACUACAUUAAGCAAGUGGGUUUGUAUUGUGAUAUCUGAAACGAAGUAUGAGUUACCUGAAUUUGGAUAAAUGUGUUAUCUAUUAGAAUAAGCACGUAUUAGCCUUCAUAAAAUAAAUGUGUGUUGUGAAAACACUCUUUCAUCUGGCUAAAUUGUAAACAACUGUC